rnacentral:rRNA from 1 species
GAUGAACGCUAGCUACAGGCUUAACACAUGCAAGUCGAGGGGCAGCAUGAACUUAGCUUGCUAAGUUUGAUGGCGACCGGCGCACGGGUGAGUAACACGUAUCCAACCUGCCGAUGACUCGGGGAUAGCCUUUCGAAAGAAAGAUUAAUACCCGAUGGCAUAGUUCUUCCGCAUGGUAGAACUAUUAAAGAACUUCGGUCAUCGAUGGGGAUGCGUUCCAUUAGGUUGUUGGCGGGGUAACGGCCCACCAAGCCUUCGAUGGAUAGGGGUUCUGAGAGGAAGGUCCCCCACACUGGUACUGAGACACGGACCAGACUCCUACGGGAGGCAGCAGUGAGGAAUAUUGGUCAAUGGGCGAGAGCCUGAACCAGCCAAGUCGCGUGGAGGAAGACGGCCCCUACGGGGUUGUAAACUCCUUUUACCUGGGAAUAACGGGGCGCUACGCGUAGCGCUGUGCAUGUACCGGGAGAAUAAGCAUCGGCUAAUUCCGUG